rnacentral:rRNA from 1 species
UACGGAGGAUCCAAGCGUUAUCCGGAAUUAUUGGGUCUAAAACAUUCGUAGCUUGUUUUGCAAGUCUCUUGUGAAAUCUGAUAUCUUAAAUAUCAGGCGUGCAAGAGAUACUGCUUUACUAGAGACCGGAAGAUGCAAAGAGUAUGAUCAAGGUAGCGGUAAAAUGUGUUAAUCUUGAUCAGACUAACAAUGGCGAAGGCACUUUGCAAGUACGGAUCUGACAGUGAGGGAUGAAGGCUAGGGGCGCAAAAGG